rnacentral:rRNA from 1 species
GGAGGAAAGCAGGGGAUCGCAAGACCUUGCGCUCUUGGAGCGGCCGAUAUCUGAUUAGCUAGUUGGUGGGGUAAAGGCCCACCAAGGCGACGAUCAGUAGCUGGUCUGAGAGGACGACCAGCCACACUGGAACUGAGACACGGUCCAGACUCCUACGGGAGGCAGCAGUGGGGAAUUUUGGACAAUGGGGGAAACCCUGAUCCAGCCAUUCCGCGUGAGUGAAGAAGGCCUUCGGGUUGUAAAGCUCUUUCGCAAGGAAAGAAAACUUACCCUCUAACAUAGGGUGAGGCUGACGGUACCUUGAGAAGAAGCACCGGCUAACUACGUGCCAGCAGCCGCGGUAAUACGUAGGGCGCGAGCGUUAAUCGGAAUUACUGGGCGUAAAGCGUGCGCAGGCGGUUCUGCAAGUCAGAUGUGAAAUCCCCGGGCUCAACCUGGGAACUGCGUUUGAAACUACAAAGCUAG